CAAAAAAAGUUGUGCAUACCCAGGGUGUUUUUACCCACGGCCAUUUUCCGUGGGUAUUACCCACGGCAAAGCCUUUGAAAACGUGAAAUUAAGAAAUCACUUGUUUGCAUCUCACUUUUUUAAAGGAAAUGUUGCAUCCACCAAAUGAAGGGGCUGGGCGCCAAAUGAAAUUUUAGUUACCCACGACAAAUUUGUAUAUAAGUAUAAAUUAUAAUUUUAAUAAUUUUUUUUAUUAAUUUACUUACACUUUACCUUUCUUUUCUUCAUGUUACUUUUCUUCACUUUACCAAAGACUGAGGAAACGAAGGACGGAAGACAUAUCACAAAUCCCUAUCACUCUCCAUUCCAGCGACCCUGUCAUCUCCGGCUACCAUCUUCGUUCUGGCGACCCUCUCCACUCUAGAGAGCAUCUCCACUUUCUCCGUUUCCCAGCUGCGUUCUCUCUGUUCGUCCCCCCUCCACCGGAACAGUUGAAAAUAUCAUCUAUUGGUCUGUGGAACAACACCUUUUAUGAUACGAGGUUCACGCGAAAUUGAAGAAGCUUUAUUGAAACACUUGGGAGUGAAACGAAAUGAUGGUUUCUUUUCUGUUGGAGAAAUGGGAUGCAUGUUUUAUGAAGUUAUAAUGCAGCGGGCCGAGCUGGUUGGCUUUAGUAUUUGCCAGCCAGGAAGUUUAAACUGCUGCUAAAAUAAGACAUGGCACAGUACCAGCUCUUGACUGCAUAAGUUUUCUUGGUGCAAGAUAGAUUGUGCCGUAAAUUUUUCUUAAAAAAAAAGUUAUAUGAUGCAGUUAUCCUCCUGUCUCACGGCAAGUGUUUUGAUCUUUGGCCGAUUACUCCUUGUUUUCCUUUUCGUUAGUUUUAUAUUUAAUCUGUGUUUGUGGAUUUUGACAUUCUUUUA